rnacentral:rRNA from 1 species
CGGUGUUCAACUGGCGUGCCCGCGGGACGUCCUGCCGGUGAGCUCAGCCCGCGAGGGCGGCUCAACUUGAAAUCCCAUCGCGGUGCUCUUCAUUGAGUGUCGAGGUGGGCCGGCACGAUUACUUUUGAACAAAUUAGAGUGCUUAAAGCAGGCUAAAAUUUUGCCUGAAUACUGUGUAUAUGGAAUAAUGGAAUAGGACCUCGGUUCUAUUUUGUUGGUUUUCGGAACCCCGAGGUAAUGAUUAAUAGGAACGGAUGGGGGCAUUCGUAUUGCGACGUUAGAGGUGAAAUUCUUGGAUCGUCGCAAGACGGACUAAAGCGAAAGCAUUUGCCAAAAACGCUUUCAUUGAUCAAGAACGAAAGUUAGAGGUUCGAAGGCGAUCAGAUACCGCCCUAGUUCUAACCAUAAACUAUGCCAGCUAGCGAUCCGCCGACGUCCCUCUGAUGACUCGGCGGGCAGCUUCCGGGAAACCAAAGCUUUUGGGUUCCGGGGGAAGUAUGGUUGCAAAGCUGAAACUUAAAGGAAUUGACGGAAGGGGCACCACCAGGAGUGGAGCCUGCGGCUUAAUUUGACUCAACACGGGAAACCUCACCAGGCCCAGACACUGGAAGGAUUGACAGAUUGAGAGCUCUUUCUUGAUUCAGUGGGUGGUGGUGCAUGGCCGUUCUUAGUCGGUGGAGCGAUUUGUCAGGUUAAUUCCGAUAACGGACGAGACUCUGACCUGAUAACUAGACGCACUUGCGGCAUCUCAAAGGUCCGCCGGCGGCUGGCUUUGCGCCCGUCGUCGCGCGCGAUUUUUACUGCCGGCGUACAAUAAAUUCUUCUUAGAGGGACAAGUGG